rnacentral:snRNA from 1 species
ACACCCCCCUGGUGGAGACAUACCAUGAUCAUGAAGGUGGCUGUUUCAUGGCGAGACCACACCCAUUGUCCUCCGGGUGAUUGGUCAACGCGUUUCCCCCAGAAUGGGAGAGUCGAGCAUACAAUUUAUGCUUUCAUC